rnacentral:rRNA from 1 species
CACUUUCUUUAAUGGAUGUCUUGGCUCUGACAACGAUGAAGACCGAAGCAAAAUUCGAUAACUAAUGUGAAUUGCAGGAUUUCGUGAAUCAUCAAGUCGUUGAACGCACCUUGCACCACUGGAUCACAACAGUGGUACUCGAGGAUCAGGGGAG